CAUUUAACCUCAAAUCAGGUAGGACUACCCGCUGAACUUAAGCUAU
rnacentral:rRNA from 1 species